AUUGAACGCUGGCGGCAGGCCUAAUACAUGCAAGUCGAACGGUAACAUAAAAGAAGCUUGCUCUUUUGAUGACGAGUGGCGGACGGGUGAGUAAUAUUUGGGAAACUACCUGAUAGAGGGGGACAACAGUUGGAAACGACUGCUAAUACCGCAUAAAGCCUGAGGGUGAAAGCAGCAAUGCGCUAUCAGAUGUGCCCAAACGGGAUUAGCCAGUUGGCGGGGUAACGGCCCACCAAAGCGACGAUCAGUAGCCGACCUGAGAGGGUGACCGGCCACAUUGGGACUGAGACACGGCCCAGACUCCUACGGGAGGCAGCAGUAGGGAAUAUUGCACAAUGGAGGAAACUCUGAUGCAGCCAUGCCGCGUGUGUGAAGAAGGCCUUCGGGUUGUAAAGCACUUUCGGAGGGGAGGAAAAGAUGACGUUACCCUCAGAAGAAGCACCGGCUAACUCCGUG
rnacentral:rRNA from 1 species